AUCUGGUAGGAGACAUGUAAAGGUGAUCAUAAUGGAGACAGGAAGAUAAAAUUGGUAGUAGGAAUGAGAGUAAGGGAUGAAUUAGAAUAUGAAGGCUCAUGGUCUCUUCCUUCUUUUCCUAUUCAGAAAUAAAAAAAUUAACCUUAAAAGAGAAACCAGGAAUGG